rnacentral:rRNA from 1 species
AGUGGACGCUGGCGGUAGGCCUAACACAUGCAAGUCGAACGGCAGCACAGUAAGAGCUUGCUCUUACGGGUGGCGAGUGGCGGACGGGUGAGGAAUACAUCGGAAUCUACUUUUUCGUGGGGGAUAACGUAGGGAAACUUACGCUAAUACCGCAUACGACCUACGGUUGAAAGCAGUGGAUCUUCGGACCUUGCGCGAUUGAAUGAGCCGAUGUCGGAUUAGCUAGUUGGCGGGGUAAAGGCCCACCAAGGCGACGAUCCGUAGCUGGUCUGAGAGGAUGAUCAGCCACACUGGAACUGAGACACGGUCCAGACUCCUACGGGAGGCAGCAGUGGGGAAUAUUGGACAAUGGGAGCAAGCCUGAUCCAGCCAUACCGCGUGGGUGAAGAAGGCCUUCGGGUUGUAAAGCCCUUUUGUUGGGAAAGAAAAGCAGCAGGUUAAUACCCCGCUGUUCUGACGGUACCCAAAGAAUAAGCACCGGCUAACUUCGUG